rnacentral:rRNA from 1 species
ACUAAGCGUACACGGUGGAUGCCCUGGCAGUCAGAGGCGAUGAAGGACGUGCUAAUCUGCGAUAAGCGCCGGUAAGGUGAUAUGAACCGUUAUAACCGGCGAUUUCCGAAUGGGGAAACCCAGUGUGAUUCGUCACACUAUCAUUAACUGAAUCCAUAGGUUAAUGAGGCGAACCGGGGGAACUGAAACAUCUAAGUACCCCGAGGAAAAGAAAUCAACCGAGAUUCCCCCAGUAGCGGCGAGCGAACGGGGAGGAGCCCAGAGCCUGAAUCAGCAUGUGUGUUAGUGGAAGCGUCUGGAAAGGCGCGCGAUACAGGGUGACAGCCCCGUACACAAAAGCGCAUGUGCUGUGAGCUCGAUGAGUAGGGCGGGACACGUGGUAUCCUGUCUGAAUAUGGGGGGACCAUCCUCCAAGGCUAAAUACUCCUGACUGACCGAUAGUGAACCAGUACCGUGAGGGAAAGGCGAAAAGAACCCCGGCGAGGGGAGUGAAAAAGAACCUGAAACCGUGUACGUACAAGCAGUGGGAGCUGAGGGAAAGGCGAAAAGAACCCCGGCGAGGGGAGUGAAAAAGAACCUGAAACCGUGUACGUACAAGCAGUGGGAGCCCCACCACUAAGCCAGUGGUGAACUCCACAUACGCAUCCUUUGCUGAGGAUACGGUUAACGGAGCGCAAGCGACGUUCAACCGCAAAAGAAGCAGAGGGGGCUUAGUGGUGGGGUGACUGCGUACCUUUUGUAUAAUGGGUCAGCGACUUAUAUUCUGUAGCAAGGUUAACCGUAUAGGGGAGCCGGAGGGAAACCGAGUCUUAAUUGGGCGUUAAGUUGCAGGGUAUAGACCCGAAACCCGGUGAUCUAGCCAUGGGCAGGUUGGGCGUUAAGUUGCAGGGUAUAGACCCGAAACCCGGUGAUCUAGCCAUGGGCAGGUUGAAGGUUGGGUAACACUAACUGGAGGACCGAACCGACUAAUGUUGAAAAAUUAGCGGAUGACCUGUGGCUGGGGGUGAAAGGCCAAUCAAACCGGGAGAUAGCUGGUUCUCCCCGAAAGCUAUUUAGGUAGCGCCUCGUGAAUUCAUCUCCGGGGGUAGAGCACUGUUUCGGCUAGGGGGCCAUCCCGGCUUACCAACCCGAUGCAAACUGCGAAUACCGGAGAAUGUUAUCACGGGAGACACACGGCGGGUGCUAACGUCCGUCGUGAAGAGGGAAACAACCCAGACCGCCAGCUAAGGUCCCAAAGUCAUGGUUAAGUGGGAAACGAUGUGGGAAGGCCCAGACAGCCAGGAUGUUGGCUUAGAAGCAGCCAUCAUUUAAAGAAAGCGUAAUAGCUCACUGGUCGAGUCGGCCUGCGCGGAAGAUGUAACGGGGCUAAACCAUGCACCGAAGCUGCGGCAGCGAACGUAUCACUUAAAGCGAUUCAGCGGGUUACGAUUGACGGAGCGAAGCGACGUCAAAGCGUAUACAAAGUCGAGUCGGUUUAAGGAUACGUUCGUUGGGUAGGGGAGCGUUCUGUAAGCCUGUGAAGGUGGCCUGUGAGGGUUGCUGGAGGUAUCAGAAGUGCGAAUGCUGACAUAAGUAACGAUAAAGCGGGUGAAAAGCCCGCUCGCCGGAAGACCAAGGGUUCCUGUCCAACGUUAAUCGGGGCAGGGUGAGUCGACCCCUAAGGCGAGGCCGAAAGGCGUAGUCGAUGGGAAACGGGUUAAUAUUCCCGUACUUGGUGUUACUGCGAAGGGGGGACGGAGAAGGCUAUGUUGGCCGGGCGACGGUUGUCCCGGUUUAAGCGUGUAGGUGUGUGUUCCAGGUAAAUCCGGUUCACUUUAACACUGAGGCGUGAUGACGAGGCACUACGGUGCUGAAGCAACAAAUGCCCUGCUUCCAGGAAAAGCCUCUAAGCAUCAGGUAACAUCAAAUCGUACCCCAAACCGACACAGGUGGUCAGGUAGAGAAUACCAAGGCGCUUGAGAGAACUCGGGUGAAGGAACUAGGCAAAAUGGUGCCGUAACUUCGGGAGAAGGCACGCUGACAUGUAGGUGAAGUGAUUUACUCAUGGAGCUGAAGUCAGUCGAAGAUACCAGCUGGCUGCAACUGUUUAUUAAAAACACAGCACUGUGCAAACACGAAAGUGGACGUAUACGGUGUGACGCCUGCCCGGUGCCGGAAGGUUAAUUGAUGGGGUCAGCGCAAGCGAAGCUCCUGAUCGAAGCCCCGGUAAACGGCGGCCGUAACUAUAACGGUCCUAAGGUAGCGAAAUUCCUUGUCGGGUAAGUUCCGACCUGCACGAAUGGCGUAAUGAUGGCCAGGCUGUCUCCACCCGAGACUCAGUGAAAUUGAACUCGCUGUGAAGAUGCAGUGUACCCGCGGCAAGACGGAAAGACCCCGUGAACCUUUACUAUAGCUUGACACUGAACAUUGAGCCUUGAUGUGUAGGAUAGGUGGGAGGCUUUGAAGCGUGGACGCCAGUCUGCAUGGAGCCGGCCUUGAAAUACCACCCUUUAAUGUUUGAUGUUCUAACGUGGACCCGUGAUCCGGGUUGCGGACAGUGUCUGGUGGGUAGUUUGACUGGGGCGGUCUCCUCCUAAAGAGUAACGGAGGAGCACGAAGGUUGGCUAAUCCUGGUCGGACAUCAGGAGGUUAGUGCAAUGGCAUAAGCCAGCUUGACUGCGAGCGUGACGGCGCGAGCAGGUGCGAAAGCAGGUCAUAGUGAUCCGGUGGUUCUGAAUGGAAGGGCCAUCGCUCAACGGAUAAAAGGUACUCCGGGGAUAACAGGCUGAUACCGCCCAAGAGUUCAUAUCGACGGCGGUGUUUGGCACCUCGAUGUCGGCUCAUCACAUCCUGGGGCUGAAGUAGGUCCCAAGGGUAUGGCUGUUCGCCAUUUAAAGUGGUACGCGAGCUGGGUUUAGAACGUCGUGAGACAGUUCGGUCCCUAUCUGCCGUGGGCGCUGGAGAACUGAGGGGGGCUGCUCCUAGUACGAGAGGACCGGAGUGGACGCAUCACUGGUGUUCGGGUUGUCAUGCCAAUGGCACUGCCCGGUAGCUAAAUGCGGAAGAGAUAAGUGCUGAAAGCAUCUAAGCACGAAACUUGCCCCGAGAUGAGUUCUCCCUGAGACUUAAAGUCUCCUGAAGGAACGUUGAAGACGACGACGUUGAUAGGCCGGGUGUGUAAGCGCAGCGAUGCGUUGAGCUAACCGGUACUAAUGAACCGUGAGGCUUAACC